UUCCGUCCGCGCGGGAGCGCACGCAAGUGCGCUGAGAGGACGGCUAGAGCGCCGUCGACCGUAUGAACCUGACCGGGUAAUGCCGGCGUAGGGAGUAUUGAGAUGGAUCGCAU
rnacentral:ncRNA from 2 species